rnacentral:rRNA from 1 species
UGUUGAACCAGCGGAGGGAUCAUUACUGAGUUUACGCUCUAUAACCCUUUGUGAACAUACCUAUAACUGUUGCUUCGGCGGGUAGGGUCUCCGCGACCCUCCCGGCCUCCCGCCUCCGGGCGGGUCGGCGCCCGCCGGAGGAUAACCAAACUCUGAUUUAACGACGUUUCUUCUGAGUGGUACAAGCAAAUAAUCAAAACUUUUAACAACGGAUCUCUUGGUUCUGGCAUCGAUGAAGAACGCAGCGAAAUGCGAUAAGUAAUGUGAAUUGCAGAAUUCAGUGAAUCAUCGAAUCUUUGAACGCACAUUGCGCCCGCCAGCAUUCUGGCGGGCAUGCCUGUUCGAGCGUCAUUUCAACCCUCAAGCUCUGCUUGGUGUUGGGGCCCUACAGCUGAUGUAGGCCCUCAAAGGUAGUGGCGGACCCUCCCGGAGCCUCCUUUGCGUAGUAACUUUACGUCUCGCACUGGGAUCCGGAGGGACUCUUGCCGUAAAACCCCCCAAUUUUCCAAAGGUUGACCUCGGAUCAGGUAGAAUACCCGCUGAACUUAAGCAUAUCAAU